AGUGCUGCGACUCUCUUGCUGAUCUUGUCCUUCACCUGCUCCAUCACAUCAAAAAAUCCCUAGCAUGCUUUUAGCAUCAAAUCUAACAUAUCAAACAUAGCACACAAUUUAAUAAUAGUAAUUUAAGGUGCUCCUAGUAGUUUUGGAGCUUUAGAUAAGUCAAAAUUAGACAGAUAACCAAAUCAACAUAUACCAGUUUACUAGUGACUUAAUAGAAGCUAGGUAGAUAACCAAAACAGGUUAGGAGUUACAAAAUAUUCAAUGUCCAUAUAUCUACAUAUUUAUCUCAUUUCUGUUCUUCAUGCUAAACUUUCUAUCUAAGAUUACAUCUUUGCUCAAGUGGAUUUUGCUUUGCG
rnacentral:lncRNA from 1 species